CACGUUGUGUGUUUCCAUGGAAUCAGGGCAUUGACACAGCUCUGCCAAUACUCUCGGUUGCCCUGAUGACGAGUGGCUGAUUUUAUCAAGACUGCCAUUUUGAAUGCCAUUUCCACGCUUGAUGUGGGAUGCAAUGGCCUUUCUGCCAGGUGCAGGAAGCAGGCUGACAAGGAAGGAGGCAGUCCUUUAGGUAUCAUCGAACCAAGCCGCUUAGGGCUUUAAUGAUGAUUGUGUGCUUUGUUGUGCUAUAUAGUGGAGAAGAACAGACGGAAACUUUGACUCGCAGAUAAAGGGAACAACAGGCUCAAUGGAG